rnacentral:ribozyme from 1 species
ACGCACGGCGUAAACGAAAAAAAAAAAGAAAAAAAGGCGAGAUGGACGACCGACGGCGAGGAGACUGUUAAAAUGAUGAGGAGUUACCCGUUUGUUUCGCCUUCUUUCUUCCCUCUUCUAUGGUGCUUUAUCUCUCGUUUGUUUUUCCUCUUUC